GGGGCUGUGCCGGGUAGAGAGGGAAGUGGGAGGUAAGCGCUCUUCACCCUUCACCGCCUUCUCCACCCAGCAUGGCCGGCA
ensembl:miRNA